rnacentral:rRNA from 1 species
AUUGAACGCUAGCGGGAUGCUUUACACAUGCAAGUCGAACGGCAGCGCGGACUUCGGUCUGGCGGCGAGUGGCGAACGGGUGAGUAAUGUAUCGGAACGUGCCCAGUAGCGGGGGAUAACUACGCGAAAGCGUAGCUAAUACCGCAUACGCCCUACGGGGGAAAGCAGGGGAUCGUAAGACCUUGCACUUUUGUAUCUGCCGAUAUCGGAUUAGCUAGUUGGUGGGGUAACGGCUCACCAAGGCGACGAUCCGUAGCUGGUUUGAGAGGACGACCAGCCACACUGGAACUGAGACACGGCCCAGACUCCUACGGGAGGCAGCAGUGGGGAAUUUUGGACAAUGGGGGCAACCCUGAUCCAGCCAUCCCGCGUGUGCGAUGAAGGACUUCGGGUUGUAAAGCACUUUUGGCAGGAAAGAAACGUCGCGGGCUAAUACCCCGUGGAACUGACGGUACCUGCAGAAUAAGCACCGGCUAACUACGUG